GUGAGGAAUUUUGCGCAAUGGGGGCAACCCUGACGCAGCGACGCCGCGUGGAGGACGAAGUCUUUCGGGAUGUAAACUCCUGUCAGUGGGGACGAUAAUGACGGUACCCACAGAGGAAGCACCGGCUAACUCCGUGCCAGCAGCCGCGGUAAGACGGAGGGUGCAAGCGUUGUUCGGAAUUACUGGGCGUAAAGCGUAUGUAGGCGGCAAGUUAAGUUCAAUGUUAAAGCCCACGGCUCAACCGAGGAGAUGCAUUGAAGACUGGCUAGCUAGAGGGUGUUAGAGGAAGACGGAAUUCCAAGUGUAGCGGUGAAAUGCGUAGAUAUUGGGAGGAACAGCGGUAGCGAAAGCGGUCUUCUGGGACAUACCUGACGCUGAGGUACGAAAGCGUGGGGAGCAAACGGGAUUAGAUACCCUAGUAGUCC
rnacentral:rRNA from 1 species